rnacentral:rRNA from 1 species
UACGUAGGGAGCAAGCGUUGUCCGGAAUCAUUGGGCGUAAAGCGCGCGUAGGCGGCCCGAUAAGUCCGCUGUGAAAGUCAACGGCUCAACUGUUGGAUGCCGGUGGAUACUGUCGGGCUAGAGUACGGAAGAGGCAAGUGGGAUUCCUGGUGUAGCGGUGGAAUGCGCAGAUAUCAGGAGGAACACCUAUAGCGAAGGCAGCUUGCUGGGACGUUACUGACGCUAAGGCGCGAAAGCGUGGGGAGCGAACAGG